UACAGAGGUCUCAAGCGUUGUUCGGAUUCAUUGGGCGUAAAGGGUGCGUAGGCGGCGCGGUAAGUCGGGUGUGAAAUCUCGGAGCUUAACUCCGAAACUGCAUUCGAUACUGCCGUGCUUGAGGACUGGAGAGGAGACUGGAAUUUACGGUGUAGCGGUGAAAUGCGUAGAUAUCGUAAGGAAGACCAGUGGCGAAGGCGGGUCUCUGGACAGUUCCUGACGCUGAUGUGCGAAAGCGUGGGGAGCAAACAGG
rnacentral:rRNA from 1 species